rnacentral:rRNA from 1 species
AGAGUUUGAUCCUGGCUCAGGAUGAACGCUGGCGGUAUGCUUAACACAUGCAAGUCGUACGAAUGAUUUUUCUUUUCGGAGUAAAAAUUAAUGAGUGGCGGACGGGUGAGUAACACGUAAGAACCUACCUUUUGGAGAGGGACAACUACUGGAAACGGUAGCUAAUACCUCAUAAAGCUGAGAAGUGAAAUGAUGAAUAAUCGCCAAGAGAUGGGCUUGCGUCUGAUUAGCUAGUUGGUGGGGUAAUGGCUUACCAAAGCAAUGAUCAGUAGCUGGUUUGAGAGGAUGAUCAGCCACACUGGGACUGAGACACGGCCCAGACUCCUACGGGAGGCAGCAGUGAGGAAUUUUCCGCAAUGGGCGAAAGCCUGACGGAGCAAUACCGCGUGAAGGAUGAAGGCCUAUGGGUCGUAAACUUCUUUUCUCAGAGAAGAAACAAUGA